GAUGAACGCUGGCGGCGUGCCUAAUACAUGCAAGUCGAGCGAACAGACGAGGAGCUUGCUCCUCUGACGUUAGCGGCGGACGGGUGAGUAACACGUGGAUAACCUACCUAUAAGACUGGGAUAACUUCGGGAAACCGGAGCUAAUACCGGAUAAUAUAUUGAACCGCAUGGUUCAAUAGUGAAAGACGGUUCUGCUGUCACUUAUAGAUGGAUCCGCGCCGCAUUAGCUAGUCGGUAAGGUAACGGCUUACCAAGGCAACGAUGCGUAGCCGACCUGAGAGGGUGAUCGGCCACACUGGAACUGAGACACGGUCCAGACUCCUACGGGAGGCAGCAGUAGGGAAUCUUCCGCAAUGGGCGAAAGCCUGACGGAGCAACGCCGCGUGAGUGAUGAAGGUCUUCGGAUCGUAAAACUCUGUUAUUAGGGAAGAACAAAUGUGUAAGUAACUAUGCACGUCUUGACGGUACCUAAUCAGAAAGCCACGGCUAACUACGUG
rnacentral:rRNA from 1 species